GCCAGACUCCUACGGGAGGCAGCAGUGGGGAAUAUUGCACAAUGGGCGCAAGCCUGAUGCAGCCAUGCCGCGUGUAUGAAGAAGGCCUUCGGGUUGUAAAGUACUUUCAGCGGGGAGGAAGGUGCUGAGGUUAAUAACCUCAGCAAUUGACGUUACCCGCAGAAGAAGCACCGGCUAACUCCGUGCCAGCAGCCGCGGUAAUACGGAGGGUGCAAGCGUUAAUCGGAAUUACUGGGCGUAAAGCGCACGCAGGCGGUCUGUCAAGUCGGAUGUGAAAUCCCCGGGCUCAACCUGGGAACUGCAUUCGAAACUGGCAGGCUGGAGUCUUGUAGAGGGGGGUAGAAUUCCAGGUGUAGCGGUGAAAUGCGUAGAGAUCUGGAGGAAUACCGGUGGCGAAGGCGGCCCCCUGGGACGCAACUGACGCUCAUACACGAAAGCGUGGGGAGCAAACAGGAUUAGAUACCCCUGUA
rnacentral:rRNA from 1 species